rnacentral:ncRNA from 1 species
GUAAGUGCUAUCAAUGCGGCGGCUAGCAUAUUUGGUGUUUGUGCAUGCCGCUCGUCGCAGAUACCAAUUUUUUGUAUAUAUCUGUGGUAAAUCUAGAAUUAGUAUGCUAUUACUGCUUUUGCCUCGGUUUUGGUGCAGCUGUUGGAACAAAGAUGAACAGACCCUUCUUGUGAACGCUGCAGUUUGAUGCAUCUGAAUAACGUUGUAGAUUGCAUGGCCAAGUACUGGCUAUGUGUUUUAUAAAUGUCUGCAUUAGCAACUUUGGUUGGCUGGAUGUACGCCUGUCAUGGCGGUAACGAGUAAUGGAAGAUAAAAGUUCGACUUCGAUGAGGGAGCCUGAGAUACAGCAGCCACGUUCAAGGUGUCAGC